UACGUAGGUGGCAAGCGUUGUCCGGAUUUACUGGGCGUAAAGAGCGCGCAGGCGGUCGUUCAAGUCGCGUGUGAAAGCCCCCGGCUCAACUGGGGAGGGUCACGCGAUACUGAUCGACUCGAAGGCAGGAGAGGGAAGUGGAAUUCCCGGUGUAGCGGUGAAAUGCGCAGAUAUCGGGAGGAACACCUAUGGCGAAGGCAGCUCGCUGGGACGUUACUGACGCUGAGACGCGAAAGCGUGGGGAGCAAACAGG
rnacentral:rRNA from 1 species